ACCGGCACCGGCAGGAUCUCCAUGAGGAAGACCUCCGCCAAGCCCAAGCCCGCUUCUUCCGGCAGCCCAUGGUACGGCCCUGACCGUGUCAAGUACUUGGGCCCAUUCUCCGGCGAGGCACCUAGCUACCUCACCGGCGAGUUCCCCGGUGACUACGGCUGGGACACCGCCGGACUUUCCGCUGACCCCGAGACAUUCGCCAAGAACCGUGAACUUGAAGUGAUCCACUCAAGGUGGGCCAUGCUUGGUGCUCUUGGAUGCGUCUUCCCCGAGCUAUUGGCCCGCAACGGUGUUAAAUUCGGUGAGGCGGUUUGGUUCAAGGCCGGAUCACAAAUCUUCAGUGAGGGUGGACUCGACUACUUGGGCAACCCAAGCUUGGUCCAUGCUCAGAGCAUAUUGGCCAUAUGGGGUGUCCAGGUUGUAUUGAUGGGAGCUAUUGAGGGCUACAGAAUUGCCGGUGGGCCCCUCGGAGAAGUUGUCGACCCACUUUACCCGGGUGGUAGCUUCGACCCGUUGGGUCUUGCUGAGGAUCCGGAAGCUUUUGCCGAGCUAAAGGUUAAGGAGCUGAAGAACGGGAGACUCGCAAUGUUUUCCAUGUUUGGAUUCUUUGUUCAGGCUAUUGUCACCGGAAAGGGACCGUUGGAGAACCUUGCUGACCACCUUGCCGACCCAGUUAACAACAACGCAUGGGCCUUCGCCACAAACUUCGUACCCGGAAAGUGAGCUUAGGAGCACAAAUUGUUGUUAGUAACGUUGUAUUGGUGUAAAUGAGUGAUUAGUUUUCAGCAUUAAGAAUACGCAUUGUGCCAUUUUUUUUCCUUUGGUUUGAUUAUAUUGAUCGAGUAUGAUAAAUUGUAUAAUCUCAAUGUAUCGAACGUUUGCUUCAUUUAGCGGUCUAUAUAUGGACAAAAAGCAUUUAAUUCCUUUCAGGUGAGAUUGCACAAUCAAUUGCUUACUCAAAAAGAUGUCAAUGGCAAAGAAACACCGAGGAGUACAAUUGGACCAUCUUCGUGUCGCUGUUGAAACCCUCACGCCUCCGUCUGUUUCGAUGGCUUAUCCCGUUUAUUCUCUGCAAAUAUUUUCUGAUGGCGCGAGAUAUUUGCAACUCUCCCCCCAUACUAUUCUGCAAAGCUGAGAAUCUGCAAAUUACUUGAGAAAAUUCAGAGCUUACCUUGAGUAUGCGACGCACACGUGUGUAGAGUUGGUUUCAGUCACAAGCCAUCAUAGAUAAUUUGGAUGAUCUUUGGUAAAUCCCCAAUCUCUGGGAAGUUCACUAUUCAUGUAAAUUCAACUGUAAUGAAUUAUUGGAGGAAGAACAUGAACAAGAGAAAUCGAGCUUUUGGUGGGUAAUCCUUCCAUGGUCACUUUUUUAUUCAACAAAAGCAAAUACGUACGAGUUUAAAAAAAUCCAGCCCAAAUCUAUCCUAUCACCACUAACCUACCAAUCCAUAUCACCUGCCAUUGUUCAUGGAUAAUGGAUUUAAGUUAUGUGCGUAUAUACAUGUAUACAUCGAGAACUGAAUAAUCACUGAUGCUUGUUGUCUAAGCUCGAAAAUCUUUUGUUUUUCAAUUGCAGAUAAAUCAUUUAGAUUGAAUUGAAUUGAAAUCCAUCACUAGAUAUUCAAUUGUUAGUUGUUACCAGGCCUUUAACAUUAUGAAUCGACUAACGAAAUCGGAGAAUCAAAGAAUUGACAUUUCAACCGUUGUAUUCCGACUAAGAAUUCCUGAAUAAAGUGGGAAUCACACAUGCAUUAAUUCACACACAUAAUUAGUUGAUAAUAAGUAACCAGAAUAUAUUGUUUCAGCUAAUGUUCGACAAUUGUUUAUGGCACAAUUUAUGAGGGGUAUGGCCGAGGGAGGUCCGAUUCUGUAAGUUCAGUCCCUUUAAAAAUGAAGAAAAACUAACCAUCAGUUGCAAUAUUUGGUGAUUCCUAUGUCGGAAUCUGAUCAACUGAUCUACAAAUAUAAUGGAUAGUCUGUUUAUGGCCAGACAUCAACUGUACUCCGAUUGUAUGCAUGUCUUGUUCAAAUGCACUGUGUAAAAAUCCCGAAUUAGUCCAUUGGAGAUGUUAUAUUUCAAUUAUAUUGUUGUUCUUUGUUAAGGAUUUCUAUCCAUUUAUGCCUAAAUCUUAUCUUCAAUAUUGAAUCUUUUUUCAUUUAUAUCUCGGUGUGUAGAUAGUUUGACAGCUUCGUAGUUGAUAGCUCUUCUAGUUUUUGCAGCUUAGUUGGUACGUGAUACUCAUCGGAUUUGUUACUAUGACUCGAGCACCGGAAAAGCAGAUUCACAUUCGUUGAAUCCCAUAUAAAUAGCAUUAUAUAAAAUAUAUCAAUAAUUUACAUCAGCCUUAAUUCAUUACACUCUUCUAUGUGAACUUCACUUUCCAGGUACGAAGUUUGUGGCAAAUGCCCAGGCAUUGUUGUUAACUGGGUCGGCAAGAUGGUCAGCGAGGUUCUCCAAUGGUCCCUUUCCGGUAACAAUAGCUUGAACAAAGAAUCCGAACAUGGAGAACAUUGCAAGUCUCCCAUUCUUCAGCUCCUUUACCUUUAGCUCAGCGAAAGCUUCCGGAUCCUCGGCAAGGCCCAAUGGGUCGAAGCUACCACCGGGGUAAAGUGGGUCAACAACCUCUCCGAGGGGCCCACCGGCAAUUCUGUAGCCCUCAAUAGCUCCCAUCAAUACAACCUGGACACCCCAUAUGGCCAAUAUGCUCUGAGCAUGGACCAAGCUUGGGUUGCCCAAGUAGUCGAGUCCACCCUCGCUGAAGAUCUGAGAUCCGGCCUUGAACCAAACCGCCUCACCGAAUUUAACACCGUUGCGUGCCAAAAGCUCGGGGAAGACACAUCCAAGAGCACCAAGCAUGGCCCACCUGGAGUGGAUCACUUCAAGUUCACGGUUCUUGGCGAAUGUCUCGGGGUCGGCGGAAAGUCCGGCGGUGUCCCAGCCGUAGUCACCGGGGAACUCACCGGUGAGGUAGCUAGGUGCCUCACCGGAGAAAGGACCCAAAUACUUGACACGGUCAGGGCCGUACCAUGGACUGCCGGAUGCGGCGGGCUUGGGCUUGGCGGCGGUCUUCCUCAUUGAGAACCUGCCGGUGGUGGUGAAUUCGGGGGUGGACUUGACUGCCUGCCCGGCGAAAGUGGGGGAAGACAAGGCCAUUGAAGAGGCAGCCAUUUAUGGAAAUGGAAGGGAAGUGUUUGCUUUCUUGAGUGUGUAUGAGUAGAAAGAGGGAAGUAAGUAGUGUUGGUGAUGAUGACAAGGGAAGAUGGCAGUUAUUUUAUAGCUAGACGGGAGGAGGAGGUUGCUUCGACCAGACACCCGGUGAAAAACACCGGGUGUAGGGUCGAACAAAUCGGAGGAGGAAUGGUGGUUGAUCUUAUCCUGUGAUAUCUAGCCUAUCUCUUCUUUCAUUGGGUUUUCAAGAUCCCAUUGUAUCUAAGAUUUUUUUUUGGAGUUCUGCCAAUAAUAUCUCAAUUGAACACUCUGUAACUGGGACAUUCGGACUUGUACAUUAUUACAGAUAAUGAGCAAAGACAAAAGAAAAGUUUACAUUACUCUUAAUAAAUUAGUACAAGUACAUUUAAACUACAAAAUUAUCCUUUUAUUUGAAAAAUUAAAUAUAUACCCCUAAAAACUAAUUAUGUGUAACAAACUUUAAUAGAGAUUAUGAAAUAUUUUUUUUGCCACUGAAAAAGAAAAUUGUUAGAAUAUCCCAACAUUGAAAUGGAUGUUUUGCCCUUGUAUUAUUUAUUUUUUUUUAAAUGAAUUUUUUCAUAAAAAAAUAUUUUAUAAUUUAGAAGGUUACUUUCUCUUUUUUUUUUUUUUUUUUUUUUGAGAAUAAAGGUUACUUUCUCUUACUCAUACGUGUAUGCAGUGGCGAAUCCAGGAUUUUUGCCAAGGGUGUUCGAAAUUAAAUAUAGUAAAAAAUAUAAUGGUUGGCUAACAGUUUACGGGGGUUCGGGGGCAGCGUCCCCGAUUUUUUUUUUUUUUGAAUACUGUACACAUUAAAUAAUAAAAAAAAAAAAAUUUAAAGGGAUUAGUUUACCAUUUUUGGGCAAAUUUAGAAAAUAUUUAAACAUAAAAUUGGUGAAAAUAUUAAAGGAGUGGUAAACAUAUUAAAGUUGCAAGUGACAAAAUGUACGUUUCAUUAUCAUAUUUUGAAUGUUCAAAAAGAAAAAAAAAACUCACAUAGUUGUAAAUAUAGAAAAAAAAUUGAAAUAAUACAUAUAUAUACAAUAUUUAGAAUUUUGGAAUAAUUUAUAUUAUAUUUAAUAUUAAAGAAAUGGUAAAUAAAUUAAAGUUACAAAUAGCAAAAUAUAUGUUAUAUUAGGAGAUUUUUUUUAAAUAUUAAAAAAUACCUACAUAUUCAACAUUUUUUAAAACAAUUGAAAUAUUGAAUUUUGGAAUAAUUUAUAUUAUAUUUAAUAUUAAAGAAAUGGUAAAUAAAUUAAAGUUACAAAUAGCAAAAUAUAUGUUAUAUUAGGAGAUUUUUUUUUAAAUAUUAAAAAAUACCCACAAAUUCAACAUUUUUUAAAACAAUUGAAAUAUUCUAUGUAAUGGAAAAUUAGGAAUAAAAAAGAAAAAAUAAUAGAGAGGUUCAGACUCUUGUAAAGGUCUCGAACCCUGUACCUCUGCAUGAUUCUAUAGAGCACUUAACCAGUUAAGCUACAGCAAUGCAUUGGCCAGGUUUUACAUUUGCAGUUAUAUAGUACUAAAUAUAUACGAAAUAUAUUUUUUUUAAAAUCAAGGGUGUGCAGUAGCACACCCUUGGACCACACUAGAUACGCCACUGCGUGUAUGUCACUCGUACAAGAUGAAAUUCAGUAAAUAUUCUGGUCAGCAAAUUUUUCUAUUUUUUAUAAUUUCACCAGUCUGGUUGUUAAUUUUCAUCUUUUGGUGGAAGCAUUAGUUGUUUACUACUCUCUUUGAACAUUAUUUACAGUACAGUAAGAAAAGCUCUAGAACAUAAACUAACUAAAAAUAGUACUCUGCGAUUGGAUUCCUGAAGUCCAGUACACUUGAUGUUGUGGCAAUGCUUCAAUAUCAGGAUUUCCAGAUAUCCACACCAGAGCUCCGAUCCUCAUCCAUGCAUCUCGAUUUUCAUAAAUCAAUCUCCAGCCGCACACUUGGCAGAACCUCAUUGGCCAAAAGAUCCCAAGAGGAUUAGUGGUGAUAGCCGUUGCCAACUGUACAUAUAUGCCACGUCAAGAUUACCGAAUAUCGCCUGCCUAGCAAUAGCAACCUAGAUAAGGAUAUUCAUAGAUAAGCCCGAUUCAUAUAAAUACAUUCCCUCGUCUGCCUUAGAAAUAAACCCAUCAACAAACACAAACAGCCUCCUUUGCAAAUAAAUACACAUUCUUUCAUUUCAUAAUAUACAUCAAUGGCUGCCUCUUCAAUGGCCUUGUCUUCCCCCACUUUCGCCGGACAGGCAGUCAAAUCCACCCCUGAAUUCACCACCACCGGCAGGUUCUCAAUGAGGAAGACCGCCGCCAAGCCCAAACCUGCAUCGUCGGGCAGCCCAUGGUACGGCCCCGACCGUGUCAAAUAUUUGGGCCCAUUCUCCGGUGAGGCCCCCAGCUACUUGACCGGCGAAUUCCCCGGUGACUACGGUUGGGACACCGCUGGGCUUUCGGCUGACCCUGAAACGUUCUCCAAGAACCGUGAGCUUGAAGUGAUCCACUCCAGGUGGGCCAUGCUAGGUGCUCUUGGAUGUGUCUUCCCCGAGCUAUUGGCUCGCAACGGUGUUAAAUUCGGUGAGGCGGUUUGGUUCAAGGCCGGAUCACAAAUCUUCAGCGAAGGUGGGCUCGAUUAUUUGGGCAACCCAAGCUUGGUCCAUGCUCAGAGCAUCUUGGCCAUUUGGGGAGUCCAGGUUGUAUUAAUGGGAGCUAUCGAAGGCUAUAGAAUUGCCGGUGGGCCCCUCGGUGAAGUUGUCGACCCACUUUACCCCGGUGGUAGCUUCGACCCAUUGGGUCUUGCUGAGGAUCCGGAAGCUUUUGCGGAGCUCAAGGUUAAGGAGCUAAAGAAUGGAAGACUUGCAAUGUUCUCGAUGUUCGGAUUCUUUGUUCAAGCUAUCGUCACCGGAAAAGGACCAUUGGAGAACCUUGCUGACCACCUAGCUGACCCGGUUAACAACAAUGCAUGGGCCUUUGCCACUAACUUCGUACCCGGAAAGUGAAAUUGACAUAGGUAAUGAUGAAUUCGGAUUGAUUAAUUAAGGAUGAUGUAUGUAAAGUAGUGUGAAUUAUUGGAAUAAUUAAUAUAAUGUGGUUUUAUGUGCUUCAACGAUUUCUAUUGUUGCUUUUGCAUUCAUAUAAACAAACCUAAAUUGAGUUAGAUUACAUUAUAUUCACAAGGAAAUUAUGUUCAUAUUAUUUGAAGAACUUUUGUCCGUGCGGAUAAUCUCAAUCUGCUCAAUAAAUUAUCUGUUCAUCUGCUUACUUGGGAAAGUACUCAACGCCGACGUUUUGGCUGUGGCUAAUGGGCUAAUUACAUCAUCUAAUCAUACUCGCGCGGAUUUGAAGAUCCAGAAGUUAUGGGCCCAACGGAAGUGUUCAGAAAUCUCUCUCUCUCUCUCGCUUAUUUCUCUGUCUUCUUCGGUUCUUCACUCUUUCCUAUUUCAUAUCUUCAUUUCUGCAAAUUAUAUAUAAAAAACCUUCCAAUUCUGCAUGUUGUUCUUUAAACAGUUUCUCUUGAGAUCAGAUUUGAUGAGAUUCGGUGUGCAUAUCACCUGUUUGAUGAAAUUUAUGUGCGAACGAAAUUUGACAUCUUGCAAACUUUUUAGUAACAGAGGUAUUAGAAAAACUAAGAUCAACCAAUAAAAAUAUUAAGCAACUGUAACUCCGAAAAUCAUCAAGUUCUUGAAAGCCAAAAUCUGAAGUUGGGCGUUUUAUAUAUGGGCUGGAUUAGUUCUUGAAAGCCCAAAUAUGUUAAAAAAUUAAUAACAUCGAUUAUUUCUUCCAUUAGAUCAAACCCAUAUACACGAGGCAUUGCAUUAAUGCUUAAUACUAAUCACUCAUUUACACUAGAGAAUUAACAACAAUAGUGGGCUCACAUUAUCCCAACUGAAAACACAUUCACUUUCCCGGUACGAAGUUGGUGGCAAAGGCCCAUGCGUUGUUGUUAACCGGGUCAGCAAGGUGGUCGGCAAGGUUCUCCAACGGUCCCUUUCCGGUAACAAUAGCCUGAACAAAGAAUCCGAACAUGGAAAACAUUGCUAGUCUCCCGUUCUUUAGCUCCUUAACCUUUAGCUCGGCAAAAGCUUCUGGAUCCUCAGCAAGACCCAACGGGUCGAAGCUACCACCCGGGUAAAGUGGGCCGACAACUUCACCGAGGGGCCCACCGGCAAUUCUGUAGCCCUCAAUAGCUCCCAUCAAUACAACCUGGACACCCCAUAUGGCCAAUAUGCUCUGAGCAUGGACCAAGCUUGGGUUGCCCAAGUAGUCGAGCCCACCCUCGCUGAAGAUUUGUGAUCCGGCCUUGAACCAAACCGCCUCACCGAAUUUAACACCGUUGCGUGCCAAAAGCUCGGGGAAGACGCAGCCUAGAGCACCAAGCAUGGCCCACCUUGAGUGGAUCACCUCUAGUUCACGGUUCUUGGCGAAUGUUUCGGGGUCAGCCGAAAGUCCAGCGGUAUCCCAGCCGUAGUCACCGGGGAAUUCGCCGGUCAAGUAGCUAGGUGCCUCACCGGAGAAUGGGCCCAAGUACUUGACACGGUCCGGGCCGUACCAUGGGCUGCUGGAUGCGGCGGGCUUGGGCUUGGCGGAGGUCUUCCUCAUGGAGAUCCUGCCGGUGCCGGUGACUUCGGGAGAGAGCUUGACAGCCUGUCCGGCGAAAGACGGAGAAGAUAGAGCCAUUGAAGAAGCAGCCAUUGAAACUAGGAAGAGGGAAGUGUUUUGCUUGUGUGACUGUUUUAAUUAAUGAGUAGAAAGAGGAAGUGUUGGUGAUAAGGGAAGGAAAUAAAGCAGUUAUUUAUAGUUAGGCGCGGGAGGAGGAAUGGUGGUUGAUCUUAUCUUGCAAUAUAUAUAGAGAUUAGCAGCAUCUCUCUUCUUUCAUUGGAUUUUCAAGAUUUGAUUCUACAUUUGGCCUCUUCUGCCUGCUCAGUUGGCAAAUUAUAGUCCAUCAUUUCAUAUUUUUUCUCUCAAUAAAAUCUAGACCAAGAUUUUUUGCACGCACCUUGCAUUUCAGUUGGUGUCAUAAAUAAAUUAAAUUACAAAAUCCCCCCUCAAGUUUAUAUAAAUUACAAAAUCCUCUAUUUUUUGCAAAGCUAAACUUACCUCUCAAAUUAGCAAAAGUUGUGAAAUAUCCAAAUGCUCUUGAAUAGGGUUGUGCACGGAUCGGUUUUAACUACCAACCAACUCAUUUUCGACCCAUAAUUUGUGACGGAUAAUUAAUCAUCAACCGACCCAUUUAAGUUGGGACGAUAAUGUCAACCAACCCAUGUGUAGUUGGGUCGAUAAUGAUUUUUAAUAUGGUAAAAAGUUGGUUAGUCGGGUAAUAUCGGUCAACCAACUUUAUUUAUGAACUUAAUAUUUAUUAAUUUUAUUUACAGUGUUUAUUAUUUUUAACUUCAAAUUUCUAUUUCAUAUCACAUUUAUGAAAUUUUCUAAUAUUGAUCAAAAUCCUAAAAACAAUAAAUCUAACCUAAUUAUCUCAUUUGAACUAUUUGAAUUUUAAAACAUAUAGCCUAAAAUAUUUGGACGAUUAUUAAUUGUUUAAUUAUUUAUGUUUAAUUGCAAUACAUAAAAUUUUGUAUUCAAAUAUUGUUGAACUAGUCAUACUUAAUUGUAAAAACAUAGUGUUGCAGCAACUAAUAAAAUAUUAAGGAUGACCCAUCAACCAAACCAUCAAUCGACCCUAAAUUGGUUGUCAACCACCACCCAACCCAUGUCAAUUGGGUCGAUAAUGGUUUUCAAUAUUUACUAAAUUUGGUUGGAUGAGUUGGGUUGAUUUUAUGGCUGGUUUUUAACCAAUCCAACCAACGCAGAGCCCUACUCUUGACGAUAUUUUUUUACUUUUUCUUAAUAUGUUUUUUUUACAAUUUCUUAAUAUUAAAACAUAUGUUAUUUUCAAAGAAGAAUAGAGAGAUUUUUUUACAAUUCUCCAGCCACACACUUGGCAAAACCUCAUUGGUCAGAAGCACAUACUCACAAUCACCUGUUGUCCUCUUCUUCAUGUGAUUCUUACAACCUCAUGUAUGAUAGCUCCAAAAUUAUUCAAAGAGGAUUAGUGGUGAUAGCCGUUGCCAAAUGGGCAUACAUAUAUGCCACGUCAAGAUUCCCAAAUGCCACCUGUAUAUCAUAUCACUACCAAUCUAGAUAAUGAUAUUCAUAGAUAAGGCUCUCAUGUCAUUAUAUAACACUAUUAAUUCAUAUAUAAAUACCUUGAUUUGCCUGCCUUAGCAAUCAACCCAAACAAACACAUUCUCUGCAAAUACACAUUCUUUCAUUUGAUAAUACAACAAUGGCUGCCUCUUCAAUGGCUCUAUCUUCCCCAUCCUUCGCCGGACAGGCAGUCAAGUCCACCCCCGAAUUCACCGGCAACGGUAGAGUCUCAAUGAGAAAGACCGCCGCCAAGCCCAAGCCCGCCUCUUCCGGAAGCCCAUGGUACGGCCCGGACCGUGUAAAGUACUUAGGCCCAUUCUCCGGGGAGGCACCGAGCUACUUGACCGGCGAAUUCCCCGGUGACUACGGCUGGGACACCGCCGGACUUUCGGCUGACCCCGAAACAUUCGCCAAGAACCGUGAGCUUGAAGUGAUCCACUCCAGGUGGGCCAUGCUUGGUGCUCUUGGUUGCGUUUUCCCCGAGCUAUUGGCUCGCAAUGGUGUCAAGUUCGGUGAAGCAGUUUGGUUCAAGGCCGGAUCACAAAUCUUCAGCGAAGGUGGGCUCGAUUAUUUGGGCAAUCCAAGCUUGGUCCAUGCUCAGAGCAUAUUGGCCAUCUGGGGAGUUCAAGUUGUAUUGAUGGGAGCUAUUGAGGGCUACAGAAUUGCCGGUGGGCCCCUCGGUGAGGUGGUCGACCCACUUUACCCGGGCGCUAGCUUCGAUCCACUGGGUCUUGCUGAGGAUCCGGAAGCUUUUGCGGAGCUCAAGGUAAAGGAGCUCAAGAACGGGAGACUCGCAAUGUUCUCAAUGUUCGGAUUCUUCGUUCAGGCCAUCGUUACCGGAAAGGGACCAUUGGAAAACCUUGCCGACCACCUAGCCGAUCCAGUUAACAACAACGCAUGGGCCUUCGCGACAAACUUCGUACCUGGAAAGUGAAGUUGACACAGAGAUGAGUGUAAUGAAUUAAUUGGGAUUGAUCAAGAAUGAUGUAAAGUUAUUGUGAAUUAUUUGAAUAUUAUAUAUAAUGCCUAGUUUUAUGGGCUUCAACAGAAUGUAAAUGUUGCUUUUUCCGUCUCUGCAUUCAUAUUAACAAACUUGAUGAGUUAUCAGACGAUAGAUUCAUAAAUGGAUAGAAAUAAUUAACAAAGAAAAAUAACAGUAUAUUGGAACAUUUAUCUUGAAUGAAAGUACUAAAAUUGGAAUCAAGUAAAAUAAGUAGAGCAAAUCAAUCAUAAAUGGAUACAAUACGAGAGCAUAUCAAAUCUUUAAUUACCUUUUUUGUAUAUGUAUUUUCAUAUCAUCAUAUGCCUCUAGAUGAAAAUAAGAUGCUACUGAAUUAAGAUACGUACCCAGGAAAUCUGGAAUGUGGAUCGAAGAAGAAAAGGCAGAAGAGGGGAAUUAGCGAAUUAGGGCUCAAAAAUUAGGCGUCGAAUGAUACGACAACGUUUUUGGCGCACUGGAAAUAUUUCAAGUAAGAUGACUGGGCUUUAUUUAUGGACCGAAUGUAUUGGGCUGAAUUGGGAAACAAAUAAAAUAGGUGGUCUGGUCUAUUUACAGAAAAACCGUAGAAUCUUAAAUAUUUCUUAGACUUUAUUCAAAAAAAAAAUAAAAAAUUCUUAGACUACUUAUUAGUAGACAUCUUCUAUACUAUCUAUUUGAUUUAUAAAAAAAAAAAAAAUUAAAAUUCAGUUGAAAUUUUUUGUAAUCUUUUAGUAAAAAAUGCUUGCCAAAGUAUUCCAAUUUUUUCUUUUAAUUUUUUUGUGAUUUUACACAAUGAUUAAAAAAUUAGUGGAACAUUUUUUAAAUUAACAUUUACUUGCUUACUUGUUAGUAAACAUCUUCAGUACUAUCUAUUUGAGAGAGAAGAAAAUAUAAAUAUUUGUUUUGAAUUUUUUUAUGAUUUUUAGCAAUAAGCGUGUGUUAGUACGCGAUUGUUUUGUAAUUUUGCUCGACUAUUAAAAUAUUUGUCAAAUAAUUUUUAAAUGAACGUCAAAUAAAUUAGAGCAUCUCUAACGGCUCAUUUUUGUUUGUUAAAGUUUACACAAUCUGUCUGAAUAUAGGAUGCUGUUCUUUAUCAAGUACUUGGAAAAAAAAACUUAGUUAUGCUUGAAAUUAUUAAAAAAUAAUUCAAGAAACAAUUGGAAACAAUCAGCCGAUUGUAAGACACCAAAAUUCAUAUGUUUUCUAUUAGAUCAAACACAUUUACACCAGAGGCAUAAUAGCAUUAAUGUGAAACCUAGUCAAUCAUUUACAGCAAUGAAUUAAGUAAGAACAAUUUAUCCGAUCACCAACUCCCACCUCAUUCUUGAAGCUCACUUUCCGGGUACGAAGUUUGUGGCAAAUGCCCACGCGUUGUUGUUAACGGGGUCAGCAAGGUGGUCUGCAAGGUUUUCCAACGGUCCCUUUCCGGUGACGAUAGCUUGAACAAAGAAUCCGAACAUUGAGAACAUUGCUAGUCUACCAUUCUUGAGCUCCUUCACCUUUAGCUCGGCAAAAGCUUCCGGAUCCUCAGCAAGACCCAACGGGUCGAAGCUACCACCGGGGUAAAGUGGGUCAACAACCUCUCCGAGGGGCCCACCGGCAAUUCUGUAGCCCUCAAUAGCUCCCAUCAAUACAACCUGGACACCCCAUAUGGCCAAUAUGCUCUGAGCAUGGACCAAGCUUGGGUUGCCCAAAUAAUCGAGCCCACCUUCGCUGAAGAUCUGAGAUCCGGCCUUGAACCAAACAGCCUCACCGAAUUUAACACCGUUGCGUGCCAAUAGCUCGGGGAAGACGCAUCCAAGAGCACCAAGCAUGGCCCACCUGGAGUGGAUCACUUCAAGUUCACGGUUCUUGGCGAAUGUCUCGGGGUCAGCGGAAAGUCCGGCGGUGUCCCAGCCGUAGUCGCCGGGGAACUCACCGGUCAAGUAGCUAGGUGCCUCACCGGAGAAUGGGCCCAAGUACUUGACACGGUCAGGGCCGUACCAUGGGCUGCUGGAUGCGGCAGGCUUGGGCUUGGCGGCGGUCUUCCUCAUUGAGAUCCUGCCGGAGCUGGUGAAUUCGGGGGUGGACUUGACUGCCUGUCCGGCGAAAGAUGGGGAAGAUAGAGCCAUUGAAGAGGCAGCCAUCGAAGGAAAGAGAAGUGUUUUCUUUUACUUGGUUUUUUGGGUUGAAAGAGGAAGUGUUGGUGAUGAUGGAAAUUAAAGAAAGAUGGUAGUUAUAUUUAUAGGUAGGCCGGAGGAGAAAUGGGGAUCAAAUCUUAUCUAUUGAGAUAUCUACCAUAUCUCUUCAAUUCUUUCAUUGGGUCCUCAAGAUUACUCAACUUUGUUUUCUUCACUGUUUUUUUAUUUCAACAAUUCAAAUCAGAGCUAUACACUGCAUCCAACUGCAUAAUUUACUGAAUGAUGACUUUCUAUACUCACUUGAUAAUAGUUGCAUAGCAGUUUAAUCAAAUCUUAAAAGAAGUGGCAUUAAUUCUUCAUAGAAGGUAACAUUUGGAGUUAUGCAUUGAUCAGAAUACAGAUACCGAACAAAGAACGACAGAAAAGUUGGGGUCGAACUUGAUCGUGGAUAUUAACAAUAUUACUAAUUUAUUUCUCAUCAAUUUGUUUUAGUGAACUGAUGCUGCUCUACUAGUUGUAAAGAGAAUAUUGAGCAGGAGCAACUAAACCGGAAAUUCUUUAACGAACAAACACCAAUAUUACUCGUUUUUUCUUCGUCUUUACGGAAUGGUGAAUUUAUUUUUAUCUCAAAAUUAAACCAUGUCAUUGAAAAAUUAUGAUCUUAUGGUUAAUGUAUUUACUUUUAAUACCAACUGGAUAUCAGAUCACGUUCAUUGGGACACUAUAUUUAGUAUAGCCACAAAAACUCCAAACAGAUUCAUCAAUUCUUGAUUUUAAUUUGGGGUUUAAUUUAUUUUUGUUACAUCCUUUUGUCUUUUACCUCAAUAUCUUAUGCAUGUGGCAAUGCUUCAAUUUCAGGAUACCUGGUUAUCCACAGCAGAACUCCUCUCGACCAAGCAUCUCUGAUUUUCCAGC
rnacentral:lncRNA from 1 species